UAGUCCACGCUGUAAACGAUGUCUACUUGGAGGUUGUUGUCUUGAAUGAUGGCUUUCGGAGCUAACGCGUUAAGUAGACCGCCUGGGGAGUACGGCCGCAAGGUUAAAACUCAAAGGAAUUGACGGGGACCCGCACAAGCGGUGGAGCAUGUGGUUUAAUUCGAUGCAACGCGAAGAACCUUACCUGCCCUUGACAUACUCGGAACUUUCCAGAGAUGGAUUGGUGCCUUCGGGAAUCGAGAUACAGGUGCUGCAUGGCUGUCGUCAGCUCGUGUCGUGAGAUGUUGGGUUAAGUCCCGCAACGAGCGCAACCCUUGUCCCUAGUUGCCAACACCUCGGGUGGGAACUCUAGGGAGACUGCCGGUGACAAACCGGNGGAAGGUGGGGACGACGUCAAGUCAUCAUGGCCCUUACGACUUGGGCUACACACGUGCUACAAUGGUCGGUACAGAGGGCAGCAAAGCGGCGACGUGGAGCCAAUCCCUUAAAACCGGUCGUAGUCCGGAUUGGAGUCUGUAACUCGACUCC
rnacentral:rRNA from 1 species